rnacentral:tRNA from 1 species
GCCUGGGUGGCUUAGUUGUUAAGCAUCUGACUUAAGCUCACGAUUUGUGAGCUCAAGUCCCACAUUGGGUG